UGAUUCUGGCUCAGAUUGAACGCUGGCGGCGUGCUUAACACAUGCAAGUCGAACGCGAAAGAGACUUCGGUCUCGAGUAGAGUGGCGCACGGGUGAGUAACGCGUGGAUAAUCUGCCCUCAUGACCGGGAUAACAGUUGGAAACGGCUGCUAAUACCGGAUACGCUCUGAAUGAACUUUUAGGGGAAAGACGGCCUCUGCUUGCAAGCUGUCGUAUGAGGAUGAGUCCGCGUCCCAUUAGCUGGUUGGCGGGGUAACGGCCCACCAAGGCAACGAUGGGUAGCCGAUCUGAGAGGAUGAUCGGCCACACUGGAACUGAAACACGGUCCAGACUCCUACGGGAGGCAGCAGUGGGGAAUAUUGCGCAAUGGGCGAAAGCCUGACGCAGCGACGCCGCGUGAGGGAUGAAGGUUCUCGGAUCGUAAACCUCUGUCAGGGGGGAAGAAACCCCCUCGUGUGAAUAAUGCGAGGGCUUGACGGUACCCCCAAAGGAAGCACCGGCUAACUCCGUGCCAGCAGCCGCGGUAAUACGGAGGGUGCAAGCGUUAAUCGGAAUCACUGGGCGUAAAGCGCACGUAGGCGGCUUGGUAAGUCAGGGGUGAAAUCCCACAGCCCAACUGUGGAACUGCCUUUGAUACUGCCAGGCUUGAGUACCGGAGAGGGUGGCGGAAUUCCAGGUGUAGGAGUGAAAUCCGUAGAUAUCUGGAGGAACACCGGUGGCGAAGGCGGCCACCUGGACGGUAACUGACGCUGAGGUGCGAAAGCGUGGGUAGCAAACAGGAUUAGAUACCCUGGUAGUCCACGCU
rnacentral:rRNA from 1 species